CGGGAAGUAGCUCAGCUUGGUAGAGCAUCUGCCUUACAAGCAGAGGGUCGGCGGUUCGAGCCCGUCAUCCUCCA
rnacentral:tRNA from 2 species